GUUUACGGCCACACCACCCUGAACACGCCCGAUCUCGUCUGAUCUCGGAAGCUAAGCAGGGCCGGGCCUGGUUAGUACUUGGAUGGGAGACCGCCUGGGAAUACCAGGUGCUGUAAGUU
rnacentral:rRNA from 1 species